UGCCAGCAGCCGCGGUAAUACGGAGGGUGCGAGCGUUGAUCGGAAUUACUGGGCGUAAAGCGCGCGUAGGCGGUUAGUUAAGUCAGCUGUGAAAGCCCCGGGCUCAACCCGGGAACUGCAGUUGAUACUGACCAACUAGAGUGCAAGAGAGGGAGGUAGAAUUCCACGUGUAGCGGUGAAAUGCGUAGAUAUGUGGAGGAAUACCAGUGGCGAAGGCGGCCUCCUGGCUUGACACUGACGCUGAGGUGCGAAAGCGUGGGGAGCAAACAGGAUUAGAUA
rnacentral:rRNA from 1 species